AUGUUCAGCUGUUCCUGCUGUCCCACUUGCAAGCAGAGCAGAACGUUUCUGGAAAUUGAGCUCAUCUUUUCCAUUGCUCUGGGAGAGACAUUGCAAUGCUGGAGCUGUUCUGGACUCAGCUCACUCAGGAUUUUUGCACUGCAUGACUGAAGGAGGGUGAGAGGAAUCACACUGCUGUAUGGAAGAAGGUGUUGAUAAGUGAGGAAGUCACAUCCGUCCCAGGAGAAAGAGUUAUUGUAGUAGAGGAGGUAAUAAUGCAGGAUAAGAAACUCUUGGAGAUUGUUUCAAGUGGCUGCAUAUGAAAACCUGGCUUUCUGGCGUGGAGUAUUUUCCCUGAAAGUUGGUGACAAGGCGGCUGAGGAUCCAGAAUUUAUGAAGGCACUUGAAAAGAGUAGUAGUUGGACAUAGGAAAGCCUUGAAGAAAAUAUUCAGGGGCUUAUUCUAAGUCCCAAGUUUUGAAAAAUCAAAGUUACAGUGCUAACAGCAGACAGUAGUUACUACAGGAGUGAUCCUCCCCUUGCCUCUUCUUGGAUAGUAUCCUUUUUUUUUUUUCACAUGUGGUUGCCUUCAUGUCCAUACAGAGAUUUUUUUAUUUUUUUUUCCUCCAUGUACAGGAAAGCUGAGAAUGAAUGAAUGCAAGUUAGACAUGAGUCCAAGCUUGAAUUUUAUUUCCAAACUUCACCCAUUUUCCAGAAGGAGG
rnacentral:lncRNA from 1 species